rnacentral:lncRNA from 1 species
GGCUUAGAAAUAGCAAAUCCCAAACUUCUUUUUCGAAAAAAAGCUAACUGAAAACUUAGCUUUUCUUUUGAGAAACAUCUGGCUUUAUUGAUUCAAUAAACAAAGUACAAGUGAUCGAAAUUGUAAUGAAAACCAACAAAAAAAAAUAAUGAAGCUAAAAGUUACAUGAAGAUGCUUUGAAGUAAAUAACUCUGGAUCAGUCAUCCGUAUCUUGAAAACUCUCCAGGUGAUGAAAUUGCAGAAGACCAAAUCUGCACAAGCUGGACUAACCUUAUAGGUUUUGAAUAGCCGCAUGAGUCGCUCACCGCAACCGAUGAGAACCUAAUAUUGUUGAACGCACUCUGACCGGGGACACAUCCCUUGCAAGUUAGGUUGUCGAUGUGCUGAUUAGUCGCCGAACCGACUAGAAAGAAGAUCAAAAUAACGAAAAAAACAAACCGUGAGAUCCACUAGCUCCAUGGAGUAGAUCAUGUUGACUACGCCAGGAAGAGGAUGGAGCUGGGAGACUAUUAUUUCAUAUGUCGUCGCCUCCUCCACCAAGAUGCCGUCGCGAGGACACAUAACCUCACAAAGAAGAAAAAAGCC